AAUUUUAUAGCGGUUACAUUUGUAGGUGUAUGUUUUCACCCCGCUAAGCGAUGCGAAAUGUCUAUUAAGUAUACUAGUAGUUAUCCAACCUUAUCACCUGAGACCAUGGAAAAGACGGUUUAAUUGUACCUUUUCUUCCAAAUCUGGGAUAUAUGCGUAAUUAUAUAAGGGAAAUUCGUACUUUUGCUGACAACAGUGGUGCUCAAUUUUAUCAUAAGAAAUAAGA